GACAGAGGAGGCAAGCGUUGUUCGGAAUCAUUGGGCUUAAAGGGCGUGCAGGCGGCGGCGCAAGUGUCGAGUGAAAUCCCAUCGCUCAACGAUGGAACGGCUCGGCAAACUGCGUCGCUUGAGGUCGGUAGAGGCGCUCGGAACUCUAGGUGGAGCGGUGAAAUGCGUAGAUAUCUAGAGGAACGCCUGAGGCGAAAGCGGGGCACUGGGCCGAUUCUGACGCUGAUACGCGAAAGCGUGGGGAGCAAACAGG
rnacentral:rRNA from 1 species